ensembl:lncRNA
GGCUUUUGUUUAUUUUCUUAGUAGAAUUUUUCCUGCUUGGGUUUAAAUGUCUGUUUCCAGAUAGUAGCACUACUGCACCAAUAGCCUCACCACCACCACCACCAACAAUUAAAAACAAACACCAGAAGAUGCUGCUGUUUGACAUCCUUAAGCUUCCUGUUUUGUCUGUAAGCAGUGGAAUGUAAAUGUUGCUGACUCUGCUUUUAGGUAGAGGCCAGGAGUGGAUGGACCUGGAGUUCUGUGUGCUUGAGCUUGGUCUGGAUGGCCCACUGCUGCUCUUGGACUACCAAGGAUGCACCAAGGAAGAUCAUAAACAGGCAUCCAGGAUUUUCCUGGCAAGAAUACUGGAGUGGGUUGCCAUGCCGUCCUCCAGGGGAUCUUCCCAGUCCAGGGAUGGAACCCAUGACUCCUGUGCAGGCAGAUUCUUUACCACUGAUCCACUGGGUAAGCCCAUGAAUGGGUGUUAUGUUGUGUCAGAUGCUUAUUCUUCAUCUAUUGAAACUGUUAUAUGGAUUUUUGUUUUUACUUUGAAC